rnacentral:rRNA from 1 species
GAUGAACGCUGGCGGCGUGCUUAACACAUGCAAGUCGAGCGAGAAGUUUUGAAAAGAUUCUUCGGAUGAAAUUUAAAAUGGAAAGCGGCGGACGGGUGAGUAACGCGUAGGCAACCUGCCCCAUACAAAGGGAUAGCAUUUGGAAACGAAUAUUAAUACCUUAUGAAACUUAACUAGUGCAUGCUAGGUAGGUCAAAGAUUUAUCGGGAUGGGAUGGGCCUGCGUCUGAUUAGCUAGUUGGUGAGGUAACGGCUCACCAAGGCGACGAUCAGUAGCCGACCUGAGAGGGUGAACGGCCACAUUGGAACUGAGACACGGUCCAAACUCCUACGGGAGGCAGCAGUGGGGAAUAUUGCACAAUGGGGGAAACCCUGAUGCAGCAACGCCGCGUGAACGAUGAAGGCCUUUGGGUCGUAAAGUUCUGUUCUAGGUGAUGAAAACUGACAGUAACCUAGGAGAAAGCCCCGGCUAACUCCGUG